GACGAACGCUGGCGGUGUGCUUAACACAUGCAAGUCGAACGGUAAGGCCCUUUCGGGGGUCCACGAGUGGCGAACGGGUGAGUAACACGUGAGUAACCUGCCCUCAUCUCUGGGAUAACAGUCGGAAACGGUUGCUAAUACUGGAUAUGAGCUUGCAAGGCAUCUUGUGGGUUGGAAAGAUUUUUUUUGGUUGGGGAUGGACUCGCGGCCUAUCAGCUUGUUGGUGAGGUAGUGGCUCACCAAGGCUUCGACGGGUAGCCGGCCUGAGAGGGCGACCGGCCACAUUGGGACUGAGAUACGGCCCAAACUCCUACGGGGGGCAGCAGUGGGGAAUAUUGCACAAUGGACGGAAGUCUGAGGCAGCAACGCCGCGUGCGGGAUGACGGCCUUCGGGUUGUAAACCGCUGUCAAUGGUGACGAAGCUUUUUUGUGACGGUAGCAGUAGAAGAAGCACCGGCUAACUACGUG
rnacentral:rRNA from 1 species